rnacentral:lncRNA from 1 species
GUGGCAGCCAGAGGCUAGAGGUCUGAGUCCAAAUGAGUAGCAGCUCCAAGAAGUUCAUUUUCUUGACCUUUGGAGCAUGCUGUAUGGUGCCAGGUUCUAACAACAGUACUGUUCUCUCUAAUUUAGGUUCUGAUUCUGGAUUUGGAUCCACAUGAUGAACUCUCCAAGGCUCCAACCACAGAUCUGAUAGCAGGAUCAAGGUCCUGAACUCUAAAUAACUGAGUUAGCAAUUGUGUCAUCUUCUGCAUACAAUGCAGCACCAAACCCAAUUGGAAGAAAGAAACAAGGAGAGGAGAACCCAAAUUAGAUGCAUCUGGCUCCUUCAAAGCAUACUGAAUUUCAGCAAAGAACAACCGCAGUUCCGUUGUAAUUGGAAAUGAGCCUGAAAACACCAGAUGUGAGGCCUGCACAACUGGACCAAGGGGUCGGGGGGGAAAUGUGCACUUUAGUUUCUGCUCUUGUAUUAAGGUUGCCACAGGGAUACCACAGUGCCUUCCUAUGACUUAGUAAAUUUAAGUGUGCACAUGACUUCCACAAUUCAAAAACUAGCUGUGUCCCUCUUAGAUCAACAAGAGAAAUGGUUAAAGCAGCAUAA